rnacentral:misc_RNA from 1 species
GAAAUGCGAUAAGUAAUGUGAAUUGCAGAAUUCAGUGAAUCAUCGAAUCUUUGAACGCACAUUGCGCCCGCCGGCAUUCCGGCGGGCACGCCUGUCCGAGCGUCAUCUCAACACAUCGGAGCAACCCUCUGACGUUGGGGCACGUCGGCCGCCUUUGUUGACGGCGACGGCUCCCAAAGACAUCGGCGGCGCCUCGAGCACCCCGUCCAGCGUUGUAGCAUACUCGUCGCUGACGGUGACUCGGGCGUCUUUGCCGCAAAACACCCACACGUUUUCGUAGGAUUGACCUCGGAUCAGGCGGGGAUACCCGCUGAACUUAA